rnacentral:rRNA from 1 species
UACAGAGGUCUCAAGCGUUGUUCGGAUUCAUUGGGCGUAAAGGGUGCGUAGGCGGCGCGGUAAGUCGGGUGUGAAAUCUCGGGGCUUAACUCUGAAACUGCAUUCGAUACUGCCGUGCUUGAGGACUGGAGAGGAGACUGGAAUUCAUGGUGUAGCAGUGAAAUGCGUAGAGAUCAUGAGGAAGACCAGUGGCGAAGGCGGGUCUCUGGACAGUUCCUGACACUGAGACACGAAGGCCAGGGGAGCAAACGGG